rnacentral:misc_RNA from 1 species
CAUCGCGCCGCGAAUGGCAAACCGCUGAUGUUUCCCAAAGACCCGACCAUCAUCGGCAUCGCUGCGGAUAUCGCGGUGAAUACGGUUCUGCCGUCCGCGCAUCUCGAUGACAUUCCGGCUAUCUCGCGCAUACGGGCGGCCGCGGUGCGGAUCGAGGAUGUGCUUGCCCGUGAGGCUGCGGGAGCCUGAUCGCCGAUGGCACAACUCUCGGACGACUGCUUCGCGUUCGGCGGCCCGAUGAUGUCGGUCGAUGAGGCUGUCUCGACGAUCGCGAGUCGCGUCGAGGCCGUGGCNNNUGGGUCGAUUUGACUGAGGCCGACGGCCGAAUUCUCAGCGCCGACAUUAGAGCACCGCUGGCGCUGCCGCCGUUCACCAAUUCCGCUGUCGAUGGAUAUGCCGUACG